UCUUCGGAAGGAUUUGUAAUGUUGACCCCACAGGUGGUUGCUUCUGUCUCAGCGUCCUUCCUUUUCUGGCCCCCUCAGCCCCUGGCUGGCCAUCUCUGUCCCGGCUCUGCUCUCAAGGCCUCCAUCUCUCUCCACAAACUUUCCAUCUCUGCAGCCCAUCCCGCUCCCCUGGCCAUCCCUCACCUGCCCUGGCUCCAUCUACCUGGAAAUCUGGGGAGGCUGCCAGGGGGUGGAGGGAAAGCGAGAGAGAUGGCAGAGUUGACAACUUAGAGCAGCCAAGAUGUUUUUCAUGUGAUUAGAGCAGAUCUUGGGGCUAAGCGCCCAGUGCCGCCUGUCCUGACCUUCCAGGUCCUCCCAGCCUGGCUGCAGCCCAUGUCGCGGCUUGCUGCUCCCCAGGCUAUCUUGACCUGGCCACCUGCAUGUGCUGGCCACACUGCUGCUCCCUCUGGCCUGUGCCCAGCACCCCACUUCCCUCUUCUUCUUCCCAGCUUAGCUGCUGCUGCCUCUGGGGUCUCCACCCUGUGCUCCCUCCGCAUUGUCUGUGGGGAUGGGAAGAGGCAGGGUUGGGAGGAUGGGUUCAAGUCCUUCUGAGAUGGUCCUCGCUGAGCUGGAGACAGAAGGGUUUGUACCUUGUCCUGGGGCAUGAGGCAAAGGUGGCUGAUGCUGACCGUAGAGCAGGUGUCUGUGUGCUCUUCCGGCUCGAGCUUUCCACCACCCAGAGAGUUAAAAUGAUGGGCUCACGGUCACACCACAGGCUUGCAGCAUUGGCUCAGUGGCAGGGACAGGGUGGAUCGUGGAAAAGGAGGGGAUGGAGAAGGUGAACAUGUCUUGGUUUAUUUUAUAUUAUUAUUUUUAAAAGAUCUUAUUUAUUUAUUUGACACACACAGAGAGAGAGAGCACAAGCCAGGGAGCGCAGGCAGAGGGAGAAGCAGACUCCCCGCCAAGGAAAGAGCCUAACAUGGGGUUGAUCCCAGGACCCUGGGAUCCCCAACUCAUCUGAAGAUGCACUCUUAAGUGACUGAGCCACCCAGGUGGCUUGGUUUAGAAGCUAGGGACCUGCGUCCCAGGCUGUGCCUCCGACUUGUGGAGGGAUGGAGGCCAUGCUGUUGCCCUUCGGGUCUCAGUUCCCCCUUUUAAGCAGGGAUGGGUUGGCCUUCAUGGCCUCUGAAGCUCUUCUCACUCCGUUGUCUAAGCUGGAGGGGUGGGGACAGGCCAAGAAUAGAUGGUGUAUUUUGACUCAACAGACCAGUUCCUCCUCUGUCUCCAGGCUCAAAAGUCCAUGCACCUCUUGUCUCUCAUCAGUGACCUGCCUGGACAGGUGGCUUCUGCCCUAGUCCUGUUAACUCCCUCAGGACCAGGUAGGGCUGAGGGCUCAAGCCUGCCAGUUGUCCCCUGAAGGGUCCUCCCUGGGGUCAGAGGCAUCAGGCUGGCCGUGGCGAGGCUAUCAGCCCUGGGCCUCCCGUACUUGGGUGGUGAGGCCUUCUGGCCGCCAGGGCCAGGCUGAGAGCCUCAGGCGAGAAGCCAGGGACAGGAUCCCUGGGAAGGUUGGGUGGUCCUGCUGUCCCAUCCUGGCGAUUUCAUUCCAGGAGCUCUGGACUGGAGGAGUCUCUGUUUUUUCCCAGUCUCCCUCUCUGCAUGCCACCUCCUGCUGGCCCUGUGGCCCUGGGUGUGGGGACGUGUGGAGGAGCAGCCAGGAGAAGGGUUAAGUCAGGAACUCUUGGGAUGGCUUUGGCCACGGCUAUUCCUCCGGGAGAGGAGAACAAGGGGCCCAUUCUGUGUGUGGGAAUUAAUAGCAAAGAGUCAUCUGGGGUGUCAUUCAAGCCCUGAUCAGCUCCCAGAGGAAUGCAAGAGAGAGAGAGAGAAAGAGUUGCUGGUGGGGGCGGCGCAGGGAGAGGCCUGAGGCAGAGAUGUCAGAGGAAGGGCAUCAGGGUCCGGCUGGUAAUAGGAGCCCGCCCUGGCGGGUGGGCCCAUGGCCCUAAGAUCGGAGGUCUGCUUUUCAUCACAGAUGUACCCCUGUUCCCACUUGGGAUGGGGACCCCCUCCUGUCAUUCCCUUACCAAGGGUCUCCUCCUUCUGUCUUCCCUCUUUCCCAGGAUGGCUACACCCUCCGCCCCCAUGUGACUGUCUCCCCUGAGGCCUGGAGCCCAGCCCAGGCUGUGGGCCUGUCGAGGCGGGUCAACGGGCCUGCUCUCCUGGGUGCCCCUCACCUGUCCCCACCUUCGCCUAGGGGUCCUUGCUGUUUCCUUAGGAAGGGCCCUUGGGCACACUGUGAUGUGCCAGCUUGGGCUUCUGAGUUGUCCCCUCCGUCCCAGAGUCUGUGGCUUGGCUCCAGGUCCAGCUCAGACACAUUCCUGCCAAGGGACCACAGGCAACUUAAGCUGCCCGCAUGUGGGGAGUCACUAGAGCACUUCAGCCACCACAGGGACACAGCCCCCAUCUGCAGCAUCAGCGUCGGCAGUGGCCUGCUGGUGAGGUCUGCAGGCCUGGAGACAUCCUGAGUGGCACAGCCUGAGGAAGGGCCUUGGCGAAGCUCUCGGUCAAAUUCCUGGUUUUGCAGAUGUGCUGGCUGAGGCCCCCGGCAGGCACUCGCCUGCGCCUGGGUCAUCUGUCUCUCGGCUCUGUGCCCUGACCCUGGCCCCCCCCCCAGGCCCUCCCAGGCCACUGAGCUGCAACAUGCCUCCACCGUGGGGGGCAGACAGAAUUGGGGCUCUGGGGUGAGUCAAAGGGUGAGGGCUUUGGGGUGGUCAGAGCAAGGUGCCCUUAUCCUGCCUGUGGGACCUAGGGCAGAACAAGAGCCAGGGGUUCCCAUCUGUAAAAUGGGGUCAUUACCACUUACCUGGUAGCUUUGUGGGGGAGAGAAGGGAAUGGGCAGAGAGUGGCCGACGCCGCAGUAGAUCGCCGGGUGUGCUGCUACAGUUACUGUGUUGAUCAUCAUUACUGGAAGUCUGGGCCCUUCCACUAGCCCUGGGCUGAGAGGCAUACCGUGCGUACCAUUUGGCUGUCUGAAUCUGAGCCUGGCAGCCUGUAACUGCUUGGGUGGAUUUUAGGAAUCCCCUGGCUGGUUUUGGUGGGGUGAGCUUCCCAGCCCCCAAGCCUUCCUUGUGCCAGUACUGCUUCCACGGCAUCUUUCUCCCUGACAGUGCAGUUCCAGGACGCUGCGCAGCCACCAUGCACCACUGGUCAGGGCUUUAGUUUCCUCUUCUCUAACAUGGCCAGCCUCCCUCGCCAGGGUAGGUUGGAGCCUGAAGGGAUCGUAGAGGUUGUCCAGCUGAACUCCUUUAGGGCACAGAUGGGGAGCUGAGUUUUGGGAAGGAGAGGGGCCUUUCUGGGGUACUGAGGGACUCCUGGGUCCCAGCCUGAACUCUGCCUCCAGGAGCCAAGUGGACCUGGAUGAUUCCUUACCUGUAGGUGGACUGGGGACAGGAUCAUCUGAAGGAAAGCAGGUGGAGCGUUUUGCCAACUGAAAAGCACUGUAGUUUUGGGGAAUUUCAAGGAGGGUCAUUUUGGGACCCUCUCAUGAACAUGCUGACCCUCUGACCGAGGGGCCCUGGAAGGAGGGUGGCAGGUGGGUCUGGCCUAUCUCUGUGCUUCUUUGACAAAUGCUGUGCAGGGGUGGAGGGUGGCUGGUGCCCCCAGCUCAGAGGCCGUCCUACCCAGGGGAAUGGACUCAACAUGGGAGAGAGAUGGGGCAGCACAGGGGUUCCCUGCCUGGCUUGAGAGGUGGCAGGUGUAUGAAAGUGACAUUCUCCAACAUCCUCAAAGUAGAGGAUGAGCUGGGGAGGGCCCACUGUCUCUCUGCUCUGGGCUUGGUCCCUGGCCUUCAGGAGCUCACAGCCAGGUGACCUUGGCAUUCUAUUUUUUUUUUAAGAUCCUUUAUUUAUUCUUUCAUGAGACACAC
rnacentral:lncRNA from 1 species